UACGGAGGGCGCAAGCGUUGUUCGGAAUCACUGGGCGUAAAGCGCGUGUAGGCGGCCGGGCAAGUCGGAUGUGAAAUCCCGAGGCUCAACCUCGGAACUGCACUCGAAACUGCUUGGAUCGAGUCCCGGAGAGGAUGGCGGAAUUCCCGGUGUAGGGGUGAAAUCCGUAGAUAUCGGGAGGAACACCAGUGGCGAAGGCGGCCAUCUGGACGGUGACUGACGCUGAGACGCGAAAGCGUGGGGAGCAAACAGG
rnacentral:rRNA from 1 species